UAUAAAGGUUCUUUACUUAUGUAAAGUGAAAAGGGAAAUCGGUGUAAUUCCGAUGCGGUCCCGCCACUGUAAGUGUGAGUUUUUUUAAAUGAUGCCACUGAAGAUUUCGGGAAGGCUUGAAAAAACGUAAUGCACAAGCCAGGAGACCUGCCUUUAUAG
rnacentral:ncRNA from 1 species